CAAAUGCUAGCAGCUACAGCUAUUUUCCCCUGCCCUAUUUUAAUAUUAUUUAUUUGGGCAAUAGAAAUAUCUGAAGUAUGAGAAGGAGGCUGAUGGUCCCACAGUCAGCGGACAGAAGAUUUGCAGGAAUUAAUAUAUUGGUUUCUGAUAACAGAAGCAUGACUGCAACCAAUGUGCCUUCACAUUACCAUCACAAAAUCAUUGUUAGUGGAAUGGCACAAGUGAAACCCAAGACUUACACACCUUAAAUGCAAAGCUAGUUGCAUUGUGAUAUGGCUUAACAGUUUCUGCAGACUCUGGAAUUCUGGAAAUGACUGAUCAGAAUGUUUCUCAAUAUUUCCAAUAAACUAUUAAACAAUUUAUAUACAACUGUUAGCUGUAUUGUCAGGUAAAAAAGUCAUUCUGCAAUGCAACAGUGUAAUUGUUUGUAGACUGAAGCAACACUAUUGCUUUUUUGACUGUUUACAUUAAAACUCAAAGAAAAAAGACAUAGACUGUAAGAUGUUAAUAAAAGUUAUUAAU